UACAGAGGUCUCAAGCGUUGUUCGGAUUCAUUGGGCGUAAAGGGCUCGUAGGCGGUUUGUCGCGUCGGGAGUGAAAACCUCGGGCUUAACUCGGGGCUUGCUUUCGAUACGGGCAGACUAGAGGUAUGCAGGGGAGAACGGAAUUCCUGGUGUAGCGGUGAAAUGCGCAGAUAUCAGGAGGAACACCGGUGGCGAAGGCGGUUCUCUGGGCAUGAUCUGACGCUGAGGAGCGAAAGUGUGGGGGAGCGAACAGG
rnacentral:rRNA from 1 species